UUGAGAUUUUAACACGAAGUGAGUGGCGAACGGGUGAGUAACACGUGGGUAACCUGCCCAGAAGUAGGGGAUAACACCUGGAAACAGAUGCUAAUACCGUAUAACAGAGAAAACCGCAUGGUUUUCUUUUAAAAGAUGGCUCUGCUAUCACUUCUGGAUGGACCCGCGGCGUAUUAGCUAGUUGGUGAGGUAAAGGCUCACCAAGGCAGUGAUACGUAGCCGACCUGAGAGGGUAAUCGGCCACAUUGGGACUGAGACACGGCCCAACUCCUACGGGAGGCAGCAGUAGGGAAUCUUCCACAAUGGACCAA
rnacentral:rRNA from 1 species